CAGUAGCCACGGGAAUACGUAGGUGGCAAGCGUUGUCCGGAAUUACUGGGCGUAAAGCGUGCGCAGGCGGUUUUGUAAGACAGGCGUGAAAUCCCCGGGCUCAACCUGGGAAUGGCGCUUGUGACUGCAAAGCUAGAGUGCGGCAGAGGGGGAUGGAAUUCCGCGUGUAGCAGUGAAAUGCGUAGAUAUGCGGAGGAACACCGAUGGCGAAGGCAAUCCCCUGGGCCUGCACUGACGCUCAUGCACGAAAGCGUGGGGAGCAAACAGGAUUAGAUACCCGAGUAGUCCCUGUCUCUUAUAC
rnacentral:rRNA from 1 species